GUUAGGGUGGUAUAGUGGUUUGAGCAUUGGACUAUGAUGCUGGAGACCAGGGUUCGAAUUCCUUCUCCACCA